AUUUCUGCAACAACGGUGCAACGUAAUGCCUGACACACAGCAGGUGCUUGGAAAUGUCUGUUGAAUACAACAGACGAAAGCCUUUCAGACUGCUGCUUGGUGUGACAUCACUAGUAAGGGCACUGAUUGAAUAAUCAAGCAUUUCCAGGCUGGAAGUUGCUAUCGUGGCUGACCAAACCAGAGGGCAUCGGUCAGAUGCAGCAUAACCUAUCCCCAAAUCAGG
rnacentral:lncRNA from 1 species